UAUGACUGAGAGAUGAUGAUAAAGAUAUUGAAUAGACAUGUUAUCUUCAGAAUGGUUGAGGAUGGAAGCUGCAGUGAAAAGGGAGAAUGGGAAGGACGGUAGAACCACAUACAAAAGUUUCUGUGGAGAUCAGGGCCAUUCGCACACUGGUUUUGAAGACAGCACAGAGGUAACACUAAAGACAGUGUGUGCCUGGAUGGGAAUGACCCAGAGCACAUCCAGUGGGUGUACCAAAAGUCUCUGGAGAGGGCAGCAGAGUUCAGCAUCACAGGAAUAACCUAUAGACUCACCUAGGCUGCUGGCACAAUGGAGGUUUUCAAACUAGCAUCAAGAACAGUUGUUCAGCUUGCAGGCAAGUACCUCAGGAUUUACACUUCCCUCCAUCUUCCAUGCUGCAGGAAGUAUUGAACUACCUCACUGAAAGUGCCUCCCUGUAUGUUCCCCAGUCUCUGUGGAAUUUAUUACCGGCUAAUAUGCUGAGGAUCGCCAGGGGAACAUCUGUAAUAAUCUGUUAUAGUGUAAUGUUAUGUCAGUUGGUCUGUAACUACUGGAUAAUAUUUUGAUAUAAAGAGUUUUUUUUGUUUUUGUUUUUUUUGUGCUACAUCCAGACCCUAACAUUAUAUUAUGGUUGGCUGAAUUAUCCAAAAAUCACAGCGGUAGAGGGCCUGUAGCAAUCAAUGAAUAUACUGCACAUUUUUAGGCAAAUUAAAUCACUUGCAAUAACAGCGACAGUGGAAGGCAAGAAAAAAAACAUUGUAUUUACAGGUAAAUACUCCAUUUCACAGUCCCAUUCAAAUAUAAUUCAGUGGUAUGCUGUAAUGACAUUUAACAGUCAUACAGGGUUCACAUACUUUCAUUGUAAUUCCCUGUAUUUAGGGCUCAGUCAGAAACCUGUCUCCUACCCCCAGCUCAUCCAAAACUCAGCUGCCAGACUUUUAACAAAUUUCAAGAGACAUGAACACACCACUCCCAUUCUUGCAAUGCUUCACUGGCUACCUGUUAGGUAUAGAUAGGACUGAUUUUUAAACUUGUACUAAUUACUUUUAAAGCCCUACAUACAUGGCCUCACCUCUACAUAUAUCACUGAUUUACUCAUACCCCAUGGGCCUGGUCGCUGCCUGUGCUCCUCAGGCAGGUCCUUUUUAACUGUUCCCUCAGCCAGCCUCAUUACUAAAGGCGACCGGGCGUUUUCUGUAAGAGCCCCACAGCUCUGGAAGUGCCUGCCUGAGGAAAUUAAGCUAGCAAACUCACUGCCUUCUUUUAAAUCACUUCUUAAAUCUUACUUUUACAGGAAGGAUUUUUUUAUAGUAAAUCCAUUGUUGUAGAAUUUUUAUUUAUUUGUUUAUUUUAUUAUUAAUUUUAUAUUGUUUAAUCUUAUACUUUUAUAAUUUUACAUUUUUAAUUCUUUAUAUUUUCAUAUUUUUCUUGCAUCACCACCUUUUAAUUGUUUUCCUCAUAAUCCUUGUUUUAUCGGCUCCAAUUCUCUUCGUUUUAAUUAUGCUGUUGUGACUUUAUCCUGAUCGUGUUUUACCUUGUUCUGUGGAGCGGAUCUGGCAUUAUGUCCUAUAGUUUUAUUGUAUUUUGUUGUUUUAUCUUGACUAUUUUUUUUUUGACAAAUUUGUAAUUUGUGAUAUUGGGCUAUACAAAUAACAUUGACUUGACUUGACUAUGUGCAUUAUUUUAUUCUGUUGUGUAAGGUACUUUGUAAUGCAGUUCAGAAUUGUGCGAUACAAAUAAA